CACCGCACCACUUUGUUUACUGCCGUUUUAUCACCGUGUUGUUACCAUGGAAGGACACAAGAAGAAAUGUUAUAAUGUGGCUGAAGUCCUGGAAAUGUUGGACAAGGACGAUGAUAUUCAAGUGGAUAUUUCGGAACCAUCUUCCUCGGAUGAUGAUGAUUUGAUCGUUGGCCGACACGACAGUGACGACGUUUCUUCAUCACCGACAUGGUUUACAGUUCUGAGGAUUGAGGACUCCACCUCUUCAAGCAGCAUUUGGACACGGUGAUACUAGAGUGCAUCAACGGAUCAGUAUCCACCUCCCCUUCUAGAAGAGUUUAAAUACUUUCUAGUGUUUGUACAGUUUGUGUUUUUACAGUUUGUUUGCCUAAUAACAGUUUUCUAUAAUUAAAUCUGUUCCAUUUGGUCACUUCA